ensembl:snoRNA SNORD15 Small nucleolar RNA SNORD15
CUUCAGUGAUGAUACGAUGACGAGUCGGAACGGGACACUGUGUCUGUGGGCACUGGGUCAGGGUCACGUUCUGUGUCUCUGGGUUCAGUUACCCACAGCAGCGUGUUCUUCAGUUGAAGACAUCGAGGCAUUUGUCUGAGAAGG